rnacentral:rRNA from 1 species
AACGAACGCUGGCGGCAUGCCUAACACAUGCAAGUCGAACGAGACCUUCGGGUCUAGUGGCGCACGGGUGCGUAACGCGUGGGAACCUGCCCUUAGGUUCGGAAUAACUCCCCGAAAGGGGUGCUAAUACCGGAUAAUGUCUUCGGACCAAAGAUUUAUCGCCUUUGGAUGGGCCCGCGUUGGAUUAGCUAGUUGGUAGGGUAAAAGCCUACCAAGGCGACGAUCCAUAGCUGGUCUGAGAGGAUGAUCAGCCACACUGGGACUGAGACACGGCCCAGACUCUUACGGGAGGCAGCAGUGGGGAAUAUUGGACAGUGGGCGAAAGCCUGAUCCAGCAAUGCCGCGUGAGUGAUGAAGGCCUUAGGGUUGUAAAGCUCUUUUACCCGCGAUGAUAAUGACAGUACCGGGAGAAUAAGCUCCGGCUAACUCCGUG